rnacentral:rRNA from 1 species
GAUGAACGCUGGCGGCGUGCCUAAUACAUGCAAGUCGAGCGAAGCGGGGACGGGUGAGUAACACGUUGCUAACCUCCCAUACGACUGGGAUAACUUCGGGAAACCGGAGCUAAACCGGAUAAUUAUAGAUGGAUCCGCGCUGCAUUAGCUAGUUGGUAAGUUAACGGCUUACCAGGGCAACGAUGCAUAGCCGACCUGAGAGGGUGAGCGGCCACCCGGGAACAUAGGCACGGUCCAGACUCCUACGGGAGGAAGCAGGAGGGAAUCGUCCGCAAUGGGCGAAAGCCUGACGGAGCGACGCCGCGUGAGUGAUGAGGGUCUGCGGAUCGUAAAACUCUGUUAUUAGGGAAGCGGUACCUAGUCAGAAAGCCACGGCUAACUACGUGCCAGCAGCCGCGGUAAUAC